GGUUAAGCGACUAAGCGUACACGGUGGAUGCCUAGGCAGUCAGAGGCGAUGAAGGGCGUGCUAAUCUGCGAUAAGCGUCGGUAAGCUGAUAUGAAGCGUUAUACCCGACGAUACCCGAAUGGGGAAACCCAGUGUGUUUCGACACACUAUCAUGACAUGAAUACAUAGUGUCAUGAGGCGAACCGGGGGAACUGAAACAUCUCAGUACCCCGAGGAAAAGAAAUCAACCGAGAUUCCCCCAGUAGCGGCGAGCGAACGGGGAGGAGCCCAGAACCUGAAUCAGUUUGUGUGUUAGUGGAAGCGUCUGGAAAGUCGCACAGUAAAGGGUGAUAGUCCCGUACACAAAAAUGCACAAGUUGUGAGUUCGAUGAGUAGGGCGGGACACGUGACAUCCUGUCUGAAUAUGGGGGGACCAUCCUCCAAGGCUAAAUACUCCUGACUGACCGAUAGUGAACCAGUACCGUGAGGGAAAGGCGAAAAGAACCCCGGCGAGGGGAGUGAAAUAGAACCUGAAACCGUGUACGUACAAGCAGUGGGAGCCUACUUGUUAGGUGACUGCGUACCUUUUGUAUAAUGGGUCAGCGACUUAUAUUCUGUAGCAAGGUUAACCGUAUAGGGGAGCCGCAGGGAAACCGAGUCUUAACUGGGCGUUAAGUUGCAGGGUAUAGACCCGAAACCCGGUGAUCUAGCCAUGGGCAGGUUGAAGGUUGGGUAACACUAACUGGAGGACCGAACCGACUAAUGUUGAAAAAUUAGCGGAUGACUUGUGGCUGGGGGUGAAAGGCCAAUCAAACCGGGAGAUAGCUGGUUCUCCCCGAAAGCUAUUUAGGUAGCGCCUCGUGAAUUCAUCUUCGGGGGUAGAGCACUGUUUCGGCUAGGGGGUCAUCCCGACUUACCAACCCGAUGCAAACUACGAAUACCGAAGAAUGUUAUCACGGGAGACACACGGCGGGUGCUAACGUUCGUCGUGAAGAGGGAAACAACCCAGACCGCCAGCUAAGGUCCCAAAGUCAUGGUUAAGUGGGAAACGAUGUGGGAAGGCAUAGACAGCCAGGAUGUUGGCUUAGAAGCAGCCAUCAUUUAAAGAAAGCGUAAUAGCUCACUGGUCGAGUCGGCCUGCGCGGAAGAUGUAACGGGGCUAAACCAUGCACCGAAGCUGCGGCAGCGACACUUAGGUGUUGUUGGGUAGGGGAGCGUUCUGUAAGCCUGCGAAGGUGGCCUGUGAGGGCUGCUGGAGGUAUCAGAAGUGCGAAUGCUGACAUAAGUAACGAUAAUGCGGGUGAAAAACCCGCACGCCGGAAGACCAAGGGUUCCUGUCCAACGUUAAUCGGGGCAGGGUGAGUCGACCCCUAAGGCGAGGCUGAAAAGCGUAGUCGAUGGGAAACAGGUUAAUAUUCCUGUACUCGGUGUUACUGCGAAGGGGGGACGGAGAAAGCUAGGUUAUCCGGGCGACGGUUGUCCCGGUUUAAGCGUGAAGGUGGAUGACUUUGGUAAAUCCGGGUCAUCGUUAACACUGAGGCGUGAUGACGAGUCACUACGGUGAUGAAGUAACCGAUGCUACGCUUCCAGGAAAAGCCUCUAAGCUCCAGGUAACAUCAAAUCGUACCCCAAACCGACACAGGUGGUCAGGUAGAGAAUACUCAGGCGCUUGAGAGAACUCGGGUGAAGGAACUAGGCAAAAUGGUGCCGUAACUUCGGGAGAAGGCACGCUGAUGGUAGGUGAAGUGAUUUGCUCAUGGAGCUGAAAUCAGUCGAAGAUACCAGCUGGCUGCAACUGUUUAAUAAAAACACAGCACUGUGCAAACACGAAAGUGGACGUAUACGGUGUGACGCCUGCCCGGUGCCGGAAGGUUAAUUGAUGGGGUCAGCCGCAAGGCGAAGCUCUUGAUCGAAGCCCCGGUAAACGGCGGCCGUAACUAUAACGGUCCUAAGGUAGCGAAAUUCCUUGUCGGGUAAGUUCCGACCUGCACGAAUGGCGUAAUGAUGGCCAGGCUGUCUCCACCCGAGACUCAGUGAAAUUGAACUCGCUGUGAAGAUGCAGUGUACCCGCGGCAAGACGGAAAGACCCCGUGAACCUUUACUAUAGCUUGACACUGAACCUUGAGCCUUGAUGUGUAGGAUAGGUGGGAGGCUUUGAAGCGUGGACGCCAGUCUGCGUGGAGCCAACCUUGAAAUACCACCCUUUAAUGUUUGAUGUUCUAACGUGGACCCGUGAUCCGGGUUGCGGACAGUGUCUGGUGGGUAGUUUGACUGGGGCGGUCUCCUCCCAAAGCGUAACGGAGGAGCACGAAGGUUAGCUAAUCCUGGUCGGACAUCAGGAGGUUAGUGCAAAGGCAUAAGCUAGCUUGACUGCGAGAGUGACAGCUCGAGCAGGUGCGAAAGCAGGUCUUAGUGAUCCGGUGGUUCUGAAUGGAAGGGCCAUCGCUCAACGGAUAAAAGGUACUCCGGGGAUAACAGGCUGAUACCGCCCAAGAGUUCAUAUCGACGGCGGUGUUUGGCACCUCGAUGUCGGCUCAUCACAUCCUGGGGCUGAAGUAGGUCCCAAGGGUAUGGCUGUUCGCCAUUUAAAGUGGUACGCGAGCUGGGUUUAGAACGUCGUGAGACAGUUCGGUCCCUAUCUGCCGUGGGCGUUGGAAGAUUGAGAGGGGUUGCUCCUAGUACGAGAGGACCGGAGUGAACGCACCACUGGUGUACGGGUUGUGAUGCCAAUUGCAUUGCCCGGUAGCUAAGUGCGGAAGAGAUAACCGCUGAAAGCAUCUAAGCGGGAAACUUGCCUCGAGAUGAGUCUUCCCUGGACACUUGAUGUCCCUGAAGGGCCGUUGAAGACGACGACGUAGAUAGGCUGGGUGUGUAAGCGUAGCGAUACGUUGAGCUAACCAGUACUAAUGACCCGAGAGGCUUAACCUU
rnacentral:rRNA from 1 species